UACAGAGGGCCCAAGCGUUGUUCGGAUUCAUUGGGCGUAAAGGGUGCGUAGGUGGCGCUGUAAGUCGGGUGUGAAAUUUCGGAGCUUAACUCCGAAACUGCAUUCGAUACUGCGGUGCUCGAGGACUGGAGAGGAGACUGGAAUUCAUGGUGUAGCAGUGAAAUGCGUAGAGAUCAUGAGGAAGACCAGUGGCGAAGGCGGGUCUCUGGACAGUUCCUGACACUGAGGCGCGAAAGCCAGGGGAGCAAACAGG
rnacentral:rRNA from 1 species